rnacentral:misc_RNA from 1 species
ACUAGCGUUGUCUUACCAGAUCCCGGCAUUCCAAUCACUGAAAUAAGAGUAAGAGUUUGAUGCUUUUCACUAUCCAUUAACCACGUUUUCAAUGAUCGACUUUCAUCUUUAAACCCUACAACAUCAUCUUCUUUCAUAAAAAGAGAUGAAUCCCUUUGAUACAAUGGCAAACUGUAGUCGGCAUUAGAACCUUCUAUACGAUCAACAACAAUAUAUCUCUGUCUCCUCUCAUCCAUGCCUUUGAUUUUUUUAUUGAUCUGUUGCAGCUUGGAGGCAAUCGCAUGCUUCUCCGAAAGAGUUUUUGGAGUGCGAAAAA